AACAAACGCUGGCGACGUGCCUAAUACAUGCAAGUCGAACGGGGUAGCAAUACCUAGUGGCGCACGGGUGAGGAACGCGUGGAUAAUCUGCCUUAGAGUGGGGAUAACUAGUCGAAAGAUUAGCUAAUACCGCAUAAGACCACAGGAGCUGCGGCUCUAGGGGUCAAAGGUUUUUCGCUCUAAGAUGAGUCCGCGUAAGAUUAGCUAGUUGGUGAGGUAACGGCUCACCAAGGCGACGAGCUUUAACUGGUCUGAGAGGAUGAUCAGUCACACUGGAACUGAGACACGGUCCAGACGCCUACGGGAGGCAGCAGUAGGGAAUAUUGCACAAUGGAGGAAACUCUGAUGCAGCGACGCCGCGUGAGUGAUGAAGGCCUUCGGGUCGUAAAGCUCUGUCGCAGGGCAAUAACACAAUGAAUGUACCCUGUAAGAAAGGAUCGGCUAACUUCGUGCCAGCCGCCGCCGUAACAC
rnacentral:rRNA from 1 species